AGAGAUGUGUGAUGAUGCAUAUCAAUAAGCGGAGGAAAAGAAACUAACAAGGAUUCCCUAGUAACGGCGAGUGAAGCGGGAAGAGCUCAAAUUUGAAAUCUUAAAGGGUUUCCCUUUACGAAUUGUAGUUUAAAGAAGUGUUUUCUGUUGGAGUUUCGGUAAAAGUUCUUUGGAAUAGGACAUCAUAGAGGGUGAGAAUCCCGUAUUUGACCGUUACUUUCCAGCUGUGUGAUACACUUUCAAAGAGUCGGAUUGUUUGGGAAUGCAGUCCAAAAUGGGUGGUAAAUUUCAUCUAAAGCUAAAUAUUGGCGAGAGACCGAUAGCGAACAAGUACCGUGAGGGAAAGAUGAAAAGGACUUUGAAAAGAGAGUUAAACAGUACGUGAAAUUGUCAAAAGGGAAGCGUUUGACACCAGUGUUGUUUAGUUGAAAAUCAAUUCAAUAAUUUUUGAUUUUAAGUAGUAUUGACUUCAUCAGCUUGCUGCUUUCUUUUCAGAAAUUAUUGAAUGCACUUUUCAGUUAACAAGUCAACAUCAAUUUCUUUUGUUGUAAAAGGGUAAGAGGAAGGUGGCUUACGCUUCGGCGUAAGUGUUUAUAGCCUUUUACCUCUGCAAUCGGAGAGAUUGAGGUCUGCAGCGUAGAUCCUUCGGGGUUAGAUACACUUGUGCUAAGCUAUAGCCUUGUAUAGACAACUUGUUGACUAUGCUCAGUCAUGUAGCUUACUCGCUUGUGCUAUUUUACCUACGCUUAGGAUGUUGAAGAUGUAGCACAUCAU
rnacentral:rRNA from 1 species